rnacentral:rRNA from 1 species
UUCCUACGGGGGGCAGCAGUCGGGAAUAUUGCGCAAUGGAGGAAACUCUGACGCAGUGACGCCGCGUAUAGGACGAAGGUCUUCGGAUUGUAAACUAUUGUCGUUAGGGAAGAGAAAGGACAGUACCUAAGGAGGAAGCUCCGGCUAACUACGUGCCAGCAGCCGCGGUAAUACGUAGGGAGCAAGCGUUAUCCGGAUUUACUGGGUGUAAAGGGAGCGUAGACGGCCAGACAAGUCUGAAGUGAAAAUCCAGCGCUUAACGUUGGAAGUGCUUUGGAAACUGCCGGGCUGGAGUGCAGGAGGGG